rnacentral:rRNA from 1 species
GCAGUACCCGUCUUGCCAAUCCCACCUUCCCCUUGGACCUGGCGGCGCCGCGGCGCAGGAACGCGCCACGCGACCUCAUCUUCUUCCGUCGGCACGGGGCCGUCUACCAAAGACGCGGUCACACGCGCAGCACGCAGUUUCGCCGCACCGCAG